rnacentral:rRNA from 1 species
AUGGAUUUCUUCCGGAUCGAGAAGGGCGCGGAGGGCGGCGCCGUCAGGCCGGCAAAGUGUGGGCUUUCUCAGGAUGCUAAGAGGCGAAGGAGGCGAUCUCUUGUUAUGCACAAGAAGAAGAGGAGGCUACUGCCAUUUGUGCCCACUGAAGAUAGAGUUCGAAGGCUUGAACAGAUGGCUUCUGCAGCCACUGCAUUGACCACUUCGAAAAUGGAGUUCAGUAAUGAGCUGACUUAUGUGCCGAGUAUGGCCCCUAUAUCUGCCAAUCAAGCAAAACUGGAGGAAGGUGGUAUGCAGGUUCUUUCAAAAGAGGACAAAGAAACCAUCGAACUUUGCAGAAGCAUGUUGAAAAGAGGUGAAUGCCCUCCUCUUCUGGUGGUUUUUGAUUCCCAUGAGGGCUUCACUGUGCAGGCUGAUGCAUAUAUUAAGGAUCUGACAUUCUUAACUGAAUACACUGGCGAUGUUGAUUAUUUAAAGAACAGGGAAAAUAAUGGCUGUGAUAGUACAAUGACCCUUCUUUCACCAGCGGAUCCUUCCCAGAAGCUCGUUAUCUGCCCUGACAAACGUGGAAACAUCGCCCGCUUUAUUAAUGGCAUCAACAACCACACUCCUGAUGGGAAUAAUAAGCAGAACAUCAAGUGUGUGAGAAACGAUAUGGACGGUGAGUGCCAUGUCUUGCUGGUCACAUGCCGUGAUAUAUAUCGUGGUGAGAAGCUGUACUACGACUACAAUGGGCAUGACUAUAUGUACCAACGCAUCAUUUCGUCAACUCGCCCAAUAGUUCUGCCCUGCCCUGCAUCAAGGAGUCUGGGCGAUUAA